CUCCCUCUGUCUCUCACGCUCUCUCAUCUCCCACUCCCUCUCUCUCUUUACAUAUAUUACCUAUUUCUCUCUUCCUUACUCUCCUCCUUGUUCUGUCUUUCUGUCUCUCUUUUACUAUCACUUUCUAUCUACUCUUGCUCUUUCUCAUUGUCUGUCAUUGCACUCUCUCUUUCUCUCUCACCCUCUCUCUUUUUUGCUCUAUCUUUCGCUUUCUUUCUCCUUUCGCUCUCUUUCAGCCUCACUUUCUCUUUCACUAUUAUUCUCUCUCUUCAGGCCCACAGUGCUGUGGAGUGAUGACAGUGUGGUGUGUUAUUUUGAGUCUCUCUCUCUCUCUCUCUCUCUCUCUCUCUCUCUCUCUCUCUCUCUCUCUCUCUCUCUCUCUCUCUCUCUCUCUCUCUCUCUCUCUCUCUCUCUCUCUCAGACAGGGUCGGGUAAAGUGGCAUGUUGUUUUGGACUGUAAGAUAAGAUGAUAGCGAGGCUCAGCCCGGCCCUCAGCCCGGCCCUCAGCCCAGCCCCGCUUCAGCUUCUGUAACCUCUCAUGGCCGCAGAGAGCAGCCAAUCAUGUGAACCUCUAAAAAUAGCCCCACCGUUUUUCCAUCUGAACAUGCAGGACUCUUGUUUUUCAUUAUUACUCGUUACGAACCGUCUCCCUGCUACUCCUCAUGUGCGUCACUCUGAUGAUCCAUGCAAACUACCUCACUUACACUCUCUCUGUUAGAGAGGCUGUCUUACUGGUGCUCAGUAUCAGUGUGGGCCAGUACCAGGAGAGAAUACUGGAUCGGGUCAUUAGCGGAUAAAAAAACGUGUCCUGGGUUGUCCUUUUACCCAAGAUGCACCGGGGCGCUGUCAGUGUGGCUCGGCCGUGUGCACGUGAUGAGGAGAAAGCACUCAUCCUCCGGUCUGUGCAGACAGACAUCCCUUCAUCCGCAGGAACAUGUGUAGCUACAUAUUUGGUCAGCAAGCAGCUACACAUCCUUUCAGACCCACAGCGCUGAGUCAUCCUCUCAUGCGUGACUUCUUGCUCAUUGUCUUUAUACCUAUAGGGCUACAGUGUAUAAUGAAAAACCUGUUUUGCUUGUUCAGUGUUAAAAUAACUGGUAAUUAUCCAACAGUAUUAUAACAUGGACGUUACUGAGUAGUGAAUUAGACACUACAAUUAGCACAUUUACACAAUACAAGCAAGUAAUCACUGGAUUGCUAAAUACAAUAACAGUACAAUGAUAUGCACCAAAAUACGUUUGUGAUACAGACACUUAAAUAAACUAUCUGUCCAAAAGUAUCCGCACAGCCCUUUUGAUGAGUCAGUUCGGCUACUUUAAGGUCACCCACUGCUGGCACAACUUGUAUAAUCUCCAUAGAAAAGCACUGACCAAUAGAAUGGGAUGCUCUGGAGCGGGCUAAGGUCACCAUGGCCAGGGCCAUGUGUGGGCUAGAGGGGUAUAAAUCCCGACAGCAUUGGGCUGUGGAGUGAUGGAGUGGAACUGUGUUCUCUGGAGUGAUGGAGCUCCAUCCAGUACCUUUGGGAUGAGCUGGAGUGAUACAGAGCUGACCACCCAACACCAGUACCUGACCUCACUAAUGCUCAAUCAAAUCCUCACAGUACAUACAUGUGUGUAUAUUUAAAAUUUAUACAUACAUACAUUUGCAGCCCUUUAGUUUCCAUUCAUCCCAUUAUAUGUAUUUAUUUUUCAUUGGUUCUCUUUAGGGCGGCACGGUGGCGUAGUGGGUAGCGCUGUCGCCUCACAGCGAGGAGGGCCUGGGUUCGAUUCCCCAGCCGGGCAACCAGGGU
ensembl:lncRNA